UUUGAAAUCCGGCCCCCGGCCCGAGUUGUAAUCUGCAGAGGACGCUUCGGGCGCGGCGCCUUCCGAGUUCCCUGGAACGGGACGCCACAGAGGGUGAGAGCCCCGUCCGGUCGGACGCCCAGCCCGCGUGAAGCUCCUUCGACGAGUCGAGUAGUUUGGGAAUGCUGCUCAAAGCGGGAGGUAUAUGUCUUCUAAAGCUAAAUACCGGCCAGAGACCGAUAGCGCACAAGUAGAGUGAUCGAAAGAUGAAAAGCACUUUGGAAAGAGAGUUAAACAGCACGUGAAAUUGUUGAAAGGGAAGCGCUCGUGACCAGACUCGGGCGCGGCGGAUCAACCGGCGUUCUCGCCGGGGCACUCCGCCGCGCGCGGGCCAGCAUCGGUCCGCGGCGGGGGACAAAGGCCCGGGGAACGUGGCCCCCUCGGGGGUGUUAUAGCCCCGGACCCCCUACCCCGCGGGCGGACCGAGGAACGCGCACCCGCAAGGAUGCUGGCGUAAUGGUCCCCAGCGACCCGUCUUGAAACACGGACCAAGGAGUCGUCCUCGUAUGCGAGUGUUCGGGUGGCAAGCCCCUACGCGGAAUGAAAGUGAACGCAGGUGAGAGCCUCGGCGCAUCAUCGACCGAUCCUGAAGUUCUCGGAUGGAUUUGAGUAGGAGCAUACGGGGCCGGACCCGAAAGAAGGUGAACUAUGCCUGUGUAGGGUGAAGCCAGAGGAAACUCUGGUGGAGGCUCGCAGCGGUUCUGACGUGCAAAUCGAUCGUCAAACAUGGGCAUGGGGGCGAAAGACUAAUCGAACCUUCUAGUAGCUGGUU
rnacentral:rRNA from 1 species